rnacentral:lncRNA from 1 species
GAGGACCUUGGUUCUGACAUACUGGUGACACCUAGGAGGUGAGGGCACACUCUCUGACCUCCCCUCACUGAGGACCUAGGCUCUGACACACUGGUCUGUCACCUGGGAUGUGAGGGCACACUCUCUCACCUCCCCUCACUGAGGACCUUGGUCUUGACACACUAGGUGUCACCUGGGAGGUGAGGGCACACUCUCUGACCUUCCCUCACUGAGGACCUUGGUCCGACACACUUAUCUGACACCUGAGAGGUCAGGGCACACUCUCUGACCUCCCCUUACUGAGGACCUUGGUCUUGACACACUAGGUGUCACCUGGGAGGUGAAGGCACACUCUCUGACCUUCCCUCACUGAGGACCUUGGUCCUGACACACUUAUCUGCCACCUGGGAGGUGAGGGC